rnacentral:rRNA from 1 species
UGGUGGCGAGUGGCGAACGGGUGAGUAAUGCAUCGGAACGUGCCAUUGAGUGGGGGUAACGUAGCGAAAGUUACGCUAAUACCGCAUAUUCUGUGAGCAGGAAAGCAGGGGAUCGCAAGACCUUGCGCUCUUUGAGCGGCCGAUGUCAGAUUAGCUAGUUGGUGAGGUAACGGCUUACCAAGGCGACGAUCUGUUAGCGGGUCUGAGAGGAUGAUCCGCCACACUGGAACUGAGACACGGUCCAGACUCCUUACGGGAGGCAGCAGUGGGGAAUUUUUGGACAAUGGGGGCAACCCUGAUCCAGCCAUGCCGCGUGAGUGAAGAAGGCCUUCGGGUUGUAAAGCUCUUUCGGCCGGGAAGAAAUCGCAUGGGUUAAUACCCUGUGUGGAUGACGGUACCGGCAUAAGAAGCACCGGCUAACUACGUG